ACAUGCAAGUCGAACGCGUUGGCCCAAUUGAUUGAUGGUGCUUGCACCUGAUUGAUUUUGGUCGCCAACGAGUGGCGGACGGGUGAGUAACACGUAGGUAACCUGCCCAGAAGCGGGGGACAACAUUUGGAAACAGAUGCUAAUACCGCAUAACAGCGUUGUUCGCAUGAACAACGCUUAAAAGAUGGCUUCUCGCUAUCACUUCUGGAUGGACCUGCGGUGCAUUAGCUUGUUGGUGGGGUAACGGCCUACCAAGGCGAUGAUGCAUAGCCGAGUUGAGAGACUGAUCGGCCACAAUGGGACUGAGACACGGCCCAUACUCCUACGGGAGGCAGCAGUAGGGAAUCUUCCACAAUGGGCGCAAGCCUGAUGGAGCAACACCGCGUGAGUGAAGAAGGGUUUCGGCUCGUAAAGCUCUGUUGUUAAAGAAGAACACGUAUGAGAGUAACUGUUCAUACGUUGACGGUAUUUAACCAGAAAGUCACGGCUAACUACGUGCCAGCAGCCGCGGUAAUACGUAGGUGGCAAGCGUUAUCCGGAUUUAUUGGGCGUAAAGAGAGUGCAGGCGGUUUUCUAAGUCUGAUGUGAAAGCCUUCGGCUUAACCGGAGAAGUGCAUCGGAAACUGGAUAACUUGAGUGCAGAAGAGGGUAGUGGAACUCCAUGUGUAGCGGUGGAAUGCGUAGAUAUAUGGAAGAACACCAGUGGCGAAGGCGGCUACCUGGUCUGCAACUGACGCUGAGACUCGAAAGCAUGGGUAGCGAACAGGAUUAGAUACCCUGGUAGUCCAUGCCGUAAACGAUGAGUGCUAGGUGUUGGAGGGUUUCCGCCCUUCAGUGCCGGAGCUAACGCAUUAAGCACUCCGCCUGGGGAGUACGACCGCAAGGUUGAAACUCAAAGGAAUUGACGGGGGCCCGCACAAGCGGUGGAGCAUGUGGUUUAAUUCGAAGCUACGCGAAGAACCUUACCAGGUCUUGACAUCUUGCGCCAACCCUAGAGAUAGGGCGUUUCCUUCGGGAACGCAAUGACAGGUGGUGCAUGGUCGUCGUCAGCUCGUGUCGUGAGAUGUUGGGUUAAGUCCCGCAACGAGCGCAACCCUUGUUACUAGUUGCCAGCAUUAAGUUGGGCACUCUAGUGAGACUGCCGGUGACAAACCGGAGGAAGGUGGGGACGACGUCAGAUCAUCAUGCCCCUUAUGACCUGGGCUACACACGUGCUACAAUGGACGGUACAACGAGUCGCGAACUCGCGAGGGCAAGCAAAUCUCUUAAAACCGUUCUCAGUUCGGACUGCAGGCUGCAACUCGCCUGCACGAAGUCGGAAUCGCUAGUAAUCGCGGAUCAGCAUGCCGCGGUGAAUACGUUCCCGGGCCUUGUACACACCGCCCGUCACACCAUGAGAGUUUGUAACACCCAAAGUCGGUGGGGUAACCUUUUAGGAGCCAGCCGCCUAAG
rnacentral:rRNA from 1 species